ACAGAUCCUGCAUGCCUGUCGUCAGCUCGUGUCGUGAGAUGUUGGUUUAAGUCCCGCAACGAGCGCAACCCCUAUGAAUAGUUACCUGUGUCUAUUCAGACUGCCCUUCGGGGAGGAAGGCGGGGAUGAUGUCAAGUCCGCAUGGCUCUUACGCCCAGGGCUACACACACGCUACAAUCGCGUUGACAAUGCGCAGCGACAUCGCAAGGUGAAGCAAAUCGCGAAACAACGCGCCAGUUCAGAUCGGGGGCUGCAACUCGCCCCCGUGAAGGAGGAGUUGCUAGUAACCAUGUAUCAGCAUGGCACGGUGAAUACGUACCCGAGGCUUGUACACACCGCCCGUCACGUCAUGGGAGUUAUCAAUGCCUGAAGUCCGUGCACUAACCGUAAGGA
rnacentral:rRNA from 1 species